GCUUCGGUUUCGUUCCGGAGUUGUGAGGAUUCGUUCGACCACAUCCGUUUGUCUUCUUCAUGGACUCGUUCUUCUUCCUAGCGGGAUUUCAGGCAAGAUGACCAUACCCUCGAAAUCACUUCUAUCUUUGCUUGCUAGUUGUUCGCUCUAUUGCUAUGCCGUGUUACCUAUUCACUUGCUCUUCAAGCCUCCCAAAUUGCCAUGAACCUCUAACCUUUGUCACCUUCCUAGCAAACCGUUGUUUGGCUAUGUUACCGCUUUGCUCAGCCCCUCUUAUAGCGUUGCUAGCUGCAGGUGAAGAUGAAGAUUGCUCCAUGUUGGAUUAUGUUUAUGUUGGGAUAUCACAAUAUCUCUUAUUUAAUUAAUGCAUCUAUAUACUUGGUAAAGGGUGGAAGGCUCGGCCUUAUGCCUGGUGUUUUGUUCCACUCUUGCCGCCCUAGUUUCCGUCAUACCGGUGUUAUGUUCCUUGAUUUUGCGUUCCUUACGCGAUCGGGUGAUUUAUGGGACCCCCUCGACAGUUCGCCUUGAAUAAAACUCCUCCAGCAAGGCCCAACCUUGGUUUUACCAUUUGCCUACCUAAGCCUUUUUCCCUUGGGUUCUGCAAACUCAAGGGUCAUCUUUAUUUUAACCCCCCGGGCCAGUUCUCCUUCGAGUGCUGGUCCAAACCGAGCGAUGUCCGGCGCCCCCUGGGCAACCAAGGUCUAUGCCAACCCGACGACUGGCUCAUCCGGUGUGCCCUGAGAACGAGAUAUGUGCAGCUCCUAUCGGGAUUUGUCGGCACAGCGGGCGGCUUUGCUGGUCUUGUUUUACCAUUGUCGAAAUGUCUUGUAAACCGGGAUUCCGAGACUGAUCGGGUCUUCCCGGGAGAAGGUUUAUCCUUCGAUGACCGUGAGAGCUUAUAAUGGGCUAAGUUGGGACACCCCUGCAGGGGUUAAACUUUCGAGAGCCGUGCCCGCGGUUAUGUGGCAGAUGGGAAUUUGUUAAUAUCCGAUUGUAGAGAACUUGACACUUGACCUUAAUUAAAAUGCAUCAACCGCGUGUGUAGCCAUGAUGGUCUCUUCUCGGCGGAGUCCGGGAAGUGAACACGGUUCCUGGGUUAUGUUUGACGUAAGUAGGAGUUCAGGAUCACUUCUUGAUCAUUGCUAGUUCACGACCGUUCCGUUGCUUCUCUUCUUGCUCUUAUUUGCGUAUGUUAGCCACCAUAUAUGCUAGUGCUUGCUGCAGCUCCACCUCAUUACCUCAUCCUUUCCUUUAAGCUUAAAUAGUCUUGAUCUCGCGGGUGUGAGAUUGCUGAGUCCUCGUGACUCACAGAUACUUCCAAAACAGUUGCAGGUGCCGACGAUGCCAGUGCAGGUGACGCAACCAGCUCAAGUGGGAGCUCGACGGAGAUCUUGUUCGUUGUGUUGUUUCUUAUCAUGUUGAUCAGUAGUGGAGCCCAGUUGGGACGAUCGGGGAUCUAGCAGUUGGGUUAUCUUCUUUUCUUUUGGCUUUGACCGUAGUCGGUCUAUGUGUGUACUCUGAAUGAUGUAUGUUUUAUUUAUGUAUUGUGUGAAGUGGCGAUUGUAAGCCAACUCUUUAUCCCAUUCUUG
rnacentral:lncRNA from 1 species